rnacentral:rRNA from 1 species
CCCUUAGAUGUUCGGGGCCGCACGCGCGCUACACUGAAGGACUCAGCGUGUCUCUCCCCCUAUCCCGAAAGGGAUGGGCAACCCGUUGAACCUCCUUCGUGCUAGGGAUUGGGGUUUGCAAUUAUCCCCCAUGAACGAGGAAUUCCCAGUAAGCGCGAGUCAUCAGCUCGCGUUGAUUACGUCCCUGCCCUUUGUACACACCGCCCGUCGCUCCUACCGAUUGAAUGAUCCGGUGAGCUUUUUGGACUGUGAUGACGGUUUCGGUUCGCCGGACUGCUGUCGCGGGAAGAUACGCAAACCUUAUCAUUUAGAGGAAGGAGAAGUCGUAACA